rnacentral:rRNA from 1 species
CCUACGGGUGGCUGCAGUGAGGAAUAUUGGUCAAUGGGCGCGAGCCUGAACCAGCCAAGUCGCGUGAGGGAAGACGGUCCUAUGGAUUGUAAACCUCUUUUGUCGGGGAGCAAAAGACGCCACGCGUGGCGUUCCGCGAGUACCCUAAGAAUAAGCAUCGGCUAACUCCGUGCCAGCAGCCGCGGUAAUACGGAGGAUGCGAGCGUUAUCCGGAUUUAUUGGGUUUAAAGGGUGCGCAGGCGGAAGAUCAAGUCAGCGGGAAAAUUGUGCGGCUCAACCUCUUCGAGCCGUUGAAACUGGUUGUCUUGAGUGAGUGAGAAGUAGGCGGAAUGCGUGGUGUAGCGGUGAAAUGCAUAGAUAUCACGCAGAACUCCGAUUGCGAAGGCAGCAUACCGGCGCGCGACUGACGCUCAUGCACGAAAGUGUGGGUAACGAACAGGAUUAGAUACCCUGGUAGUC